AAGAUUUUCUACAACAUUUAGGAC
rnacentral:snRNA from 1 species